AAGGAGUUAGCUUAAUUAGAAGAGUGCUUGGAUUCCGAGUCUAAGAGACGUAGGUGCAAUUCCUACACUCCUUGCCA
rnacentral:tRNA from 1 species